UAAUUAUGACAGCGUAGAGGGGGGGUAUAUAGCACUCUGCGUGUCCGUCCGUCCUUCCGUCUGUUCGCGUGUCACACUUUCGUUUCCGGAGCAGAACUCAGAAACUGUUUAACUUAGGAACUUCAAAUAUGGUAUGAUGGUUGACAUUGUAGUCUAG